CACCGAAGUCAAGCAUCAUUGGGCGCGGUCAGUACUUGGGUGGGUGACCACCUGGGAACACUGCGUGCCGUU